AACGUAGGUCACAAGCGUUGUCCGGAAUUACUGGGUGUAAAGGGAGCGCAGGCGGGAAGACAAGUUGGAAGUGAAAUCUAUGGGCUCAACCCAUAAACUGCUUUCAAAACUGUUUUUCUUGAGUAGUGCAGAGGUAGGCGGAAUUCCCGGUGUAGCGGUGGAAUGCGUAGAUAUCGGGAGGAACACCAGUGGCGAAGGCGGCCUACUGGGCACCAACUGACGCUGAGGCUCGAAAGUGUGGGUAGCAAACAGGAUUAGAUACCCUGUAGUGUGACUGACU
rnacentral:rRNA from 1 species